rnacentral:rRNA from 1 species
UAGGGAAUUUUCCACAAUGGGCGAAAGCCUGAUGGAGCAACGCCGCGUGCAGGAUGAAGGCCCUCGGGUCGUAAACUGCUUUUAUGUGAGAAGAAUAUGACGGUAACACAUGAAUAAGGGUCGGCUAACUACGUGCCAGCAGCCGCGGUCAUACGUAGGACCCAAGCGUUAUCCGGAAUUACUGGGCGUAAAGAGUUGCGUAGGUGGUUUAUUAAGUAGAGCGUGAAAGCGUGCGGCUCAACCGCAUUACUGCGUUCUAAACUAAUAGACUUGAGUAUGAGAGAGGUAGAUGGAAUUUCCAGUGUAGGAGUGAAAUCCGUAGAUAUUGGAAGGAACACCGAUGGCGUAGGCAGUCUACUGGCUCAUUACUGACACUAAGGCACGAAAGCGUGGGGAGCAAACG